rnacentral:rRNA from 1 species
CCUACGGGUGGCAGCAGUGGGGGAUAUUGCACAAUGGGGGAAACCCUGAUGCAGCGACGCCGCGUGGGCGAAGAAGUAUUUCGGUAUGUAAAGCUCUGUCAGCAGGGAAUAGAGAAGAAGAUACGUGAAAAAGAAGCCCCGGCUAACUACGUGCCAGCAGCCGCGGUAAUACGUAGGGGGGAAGCGUUAGCCGGAUUUACUGGGUGUAAAGGGAGCGUAGACGGAAAGGCAAGUCAGAAGUGAAAAACCCAGGCUCAACUAGGGGACUGCUUUUGAAACUGUCAAACUAGAGAACGGGAGAGGUAAGAGGAAUUCCUAGUGUAGCGGUGAAAUGCGUAGAUAUUAGGAGGAACACCAGUGGCGAAGGCGUCUUACUGGACCGAAACUGACGUUGAGGCUCGAAAGCGUGGGGAGCAAACAGGAUUAGAUACCCUAGUAGUC